UACAGAGGGUGCAAGCGUUAAUCGGAGUUACUGGGCGUAAAGGGCGCGUAGGCGGUCAAGUAAGUGAGAUGUGAAAGCCCUGGGCUUAACCUAGGAACUGCAUCUUAUACUGUUUGACUGGAGUACUGUAGAGGGUAGUGGAAUUUCCGGUGUAGCGGUGAAAUGCGUAGAGAUCGGAAGGAACACCAGUGGCGAAGGCGGCUACCUGGACAGAUACUGACGCUGAGGCGCGAGAGCGUGGGGAGCAAACAGG
rnacentral:rRNA from 1 species